rnacentral:lncRNA from 1 species
AUUUAUUCAGAUCAUUUUUUCAGAUAUUUUUUAGAUUUUUCACCUGUUUGGGACAGUUUAUAACACUUUCGGUUCGGAUAUGUUUUAUAACACCCUACGAAACCCAUUCAUGUAUUUUUUUACAUUUUGGACUUGAUACAAGUCAUUUUUUCGGUUCGGGUUUGGAACGAAAUUCAGGUUAAAAAUUUUAUGUCCAGCCCUAAUUAACGUCUUUAGAUCAUAGUUAGAUUUUAAUUUGGACUAUAAAAAUAAUUAAAAGGAAAUGGAAUACUCUUUGUCAUUUUAAUGAAUUUUAUCUAUUUUUUAAGUUUCAAUAUAUUUAUUAGAAUCAUAAUACUUUUUUUUGUUUUCGGUUUUUUUUUGUAAUUGUGUUCACAUUUUAUAUAAUGUUUAAAUUUUAUUUAUAUUUAUUAAAUUAAUCAAAAUAAUAAUUCAUAAGAAUUUGUAUUUUUGUUUUAGAUAUUUAAUUUACAAAAUUAUUUUUAACAUUUGGUUAAAUACACUAAUUCGAUAAAUUAGCUUAACGAGUUAGAUCUGUAUUUGUUCUGCAUGAUCUGCUUGAUCUGCGUUUGUUCUGCUUGAUCUGC